rnacentral:rRNA from 1 species
UACGUAGGGUCCGAGCGUUGUCCGGAAUUAUUGGGCGUAAAGGGCUCGUAGGCGGUUUGUCGCGUCGGGAGUGAAAACGCCGGGCUUAACUCGGUGCUUGCUUUCGAUACGGGCAGACUGGAGGUAUGCAGGGGAGAACGGAAUUCCUGGUGUAGCGGUGAAAUGCGCAGAUAUCAGGAAGAACACCCGUGGCGAAAGCGGCUCUCUGGAACGGUACUGACGCUGAGGAGCGAAAGCGUGGGUAGCGAACAGG